UUGGAGGGCAAGUCUGGUGCCAGCAGCCGCGGUAAUUCCAGCUCCAAUAGCGUAUAUUAAAGUUGUUGCAGUUAAAAAGCUCGUAGUUGAAUUUCGGGAUCAAAUAAUCGGUCGUGCCUCCGGUACGUACUGGUUUUAUUGGUUCCUCCCUUCUGACGAACCAUGAUGUCAUUAAUUUGAUGUGGUGGAGAAUCAGGACUGUUACCUUGAAAAAAUUAGAGUGUUUAAAGCAGGUUAACGCUUGAAUACAUUAGCAUGGAAUAAUGAAAUAGGACGUUCGACCCUAUUUUGUUGGUUUCUAGGAUCGACGUAAUGAUUAAUAGGGAUAGUUGGGGGCAUUAGUAUUCAAUUGUCAGAGGUGAAAUUCUUGGAUUUAUUGAAGACUAACUACUGCGAAAGCAUUUGCCAAGGAUGUUUUCAUUAAUCAAGAACGAAAGUUAGGGGAUCGAAGACGAUCAGAUACCGUCGUAGUCUUAACCAUAAACUAUGCCGACUAGGGAUCGGAUGAUGUUAAUUUUUUAAUGACUCAUUCGGCGCCUUACGGGAAAC
rnacentral:rRNA from 1 species